AUGGAGUUAAAGGUUGGAGACCCUGGGGCAGGUUCCAGCCUUGAAACAUAAGACCUGACCCGGCCUCUGCCCUCAAGUAUCAAUGAGCUCUAACCUGGGCUGGUACCAGGGGGUUCUGAAGGAAUUGGAUAAGAGUUCUUGCCCUGGAAAAGCUUACAUCUCAUCAGAAGCAGGGCAUAAGGCCCACACGAGGGAAUUAAAGAAUCCCAUGAGGCAAGAUGAACCAGGAGCUAAACCGGAUGGCACAGACAUCAGCUGCUGUAAAACUUCAGAGAAGAAAGGGAAGGAGCUGGGUACCACCGGAACCUCCGUUCUGAGCUACCGAGGUUGCAAAUCCUGAGGGAACUCAGCAGCAUCGGACUUUGACAGGAGGAGAUUGGAGCCAAUGAAAAAGACAAGAUGCAUAUGCGGAAGGAAGUGAUGUGGGCAAAAGACUAAGGGAUGGUCUCGGAAGUUCAGCAAACACCGACUGAAACCCGUUCUCUUGUGCUUGUGAGAAGACUAGGAGGCAAAGAUGUCAGAGCGAAAGUUUUGAACAAAUACCAGUUUUGACCAGUCAAAGAUCCUCAAGCUCAGGGUCCCCAGGACUGGCACCAUGUGGUGCGGUCAACGGCCCCUUCAGCCCGACGUGUGAGACCUGAGGAGAAUACAGCUACGGGGGAAAGAAAUUCGACGCGCAAAGAGAGGGCGCAGAACAGGCCUCCAGGGACCCGCCCACCUUCCGUUUCCGCUUCCGGUUCUGUUUCCGUACGUCGAGUGCGUGCGCUACCAGGCAGACAGCACCUUCAAGACAGACCCCGAAGGCACGGACUGCACCGUGGAGCACAGGGCUACAGGGAACUUCCAGGCCGAGAAGCCCCUGGAGCAGGAGGAGAAGAGGCUGCGGGAGGACGAGGGGCUGAGCAACCCCAUGAAGGUGCUGGAGAACCAACCCAAGGCCUCCAGGCUGGGAUGGAGACUGGAGAACCUGCAGGAGCUCGAGGACCUGAGCCGGCGGAGGCCCCCAGGGACUUUGAGGCCGCACUGCGGCAGCACCGCCUGCGAGGAGGACGGGCAGGAGCAGGAGGAGGACGAGAGGGAGACGGCGGCCUUAGUGGAAGAAGCUAGCAAACGAAGACCGCUGGAGACUCCCAUUCAGAGGAGGAUGCUGCUGCUCCCACGCUGCUUGACUGGCCCUCCAGCCCAACCCCGCCACAUCCUGGACGAGGCCCCCAAGGCCAGGAGGAAAGCUGAGAGCUGAGAGCGGAGCGUGGGCACCCUUGGCAGCAGACCUGGAGGCCUGAUCGUGGUGAAGAAAACGGGCCUGGAUCGCAGCACCAGGCAGGGCCGGCUGCCCCUGCCCUGGGUGCCGUGAGGAACAGGAAGGCAGCUGACCCUGCACCCCUGGACGCCUAGCACUCCCUCCCUGAGCCAGGUGGGUGCAUAUUUGGGCAGCGAGGACAGCCACGGCAGCAACUGAGGUCUUCGCCCCUGUCCAGGCCCUUCCCCAGGUCAAAGGUUACACAUUCUGCUCCAGACAGUGGUCGGGAGGCGGUGGCACCAACCAGAGCCACGACUGGACAAGCAUGAACAUCCUCCAAGGCCGGUGGGGCCAGCAAGGGUUUCAGCCCAGAGACUCGGUUUCUCUCCUGUCCCCAUACCCACCAGCCCUCUGGGACCUUGGAGUACCCAGCUCAGGCUGCCCCCCACCUGGCACCAAGAUCAAGACUCCAGCAUCCCUGGAGCCGCUCUCAGCUACUGGUAAGCCUUUGCCAUCCUCUCUUGGACAGUCCUUAAAAUAUCAGCCGUGUUUUGGGCAUGUGGGUGAGCCCACCCACCCCCGGUUGACUCCAUCCCUUUCCGCCACAAAACCGUCUGGAACCAAUAAAAGGAACCCACCAAAAAAAGAGCUGUGAGGACAGGAAUACUAGUCAGGAAGGUUCGUGAAGGGGCAUCUGGAAGGAUGGAUAGGCAAGCUUGCUCGCUGUGGUGAAGCCAGCUGCCAUGUUGUGAGCUGCCCUGCGGAGAAGCCCACAUGGUAAUAGGCAGCAUUCGGGAAAAAGGCAGCUCUGUGUGCCAAAGGAGAGUCCAGCUGCCUGGCCAGAACCUGGCAACAUGGAUAGGGGGGUCUUCGCGGAAGAACAAAUCAGAAAAAGACACCAAGGGCUCCAAGGAGGACCUCAGCAGGAGGAAGAGAGGAAGGGGUUGUUUGUCCGCUUGUUUGUUUGUUGGAGUGGGGGUAGUGGGCUGGGCCGAAGGAGCCGAAGGUCAUAGA
rnacentral:lncRNA from 1 species